rnacentral:rRNA from 1 species
UCCGUAGGUGGAUAAUUAAGUCAGAGGUGAAAUCCUGCAGCUCAACUGUAGAAUUGCCUUUGAUACUGGUUAUCUUGAGUUAUUAUGAAGUAGUUAGAAUAUGUAGUGUAGCGGUGAAAUGCAUAGAUAUUACAUAGAAUACCAAUUGCGAAGGCAGAUUACUAAUAAUCAACUGACACUGAUGGACGAAAGCGUGGGGAGCGAACAGGAUUAGAUACCCUGGUAGUC